CCUACGGGGGGCAGCAGUCGAGAAUCAUUCACAAUGGGGGAAACCCUGAUGGUGCGACGCCGCGUGGGGGAAUGAAGGUCUUCGGAUUGUAAACCCCUGUCAUGUGGGAGCAAAUUAAAAAGAUAGUACCACAAGAGGAAGAGACGGCUAACUCUGUGCCAGCAGCCGCGGUAAUACAGAGGUCUCAAGCGUUGUUCGGAAUCACUGGGCGUAAAGCGUGCGUAGGCUGUUUCGUAAGUCGUGUGUGAAAGGCGCGGGCUCAACCCGCGGACGGCAAUUGAUACUGCGAGACUAGAGUAAGGGAGGGGUAAACGGAAUUCCUGGUGUAGCAGGGAAAUGCGUAGAUAUCGGGAGGAACAUUCGUGGCGAAAGCGGGUUCCUGGACCUUUACUGACGCUGAGGCACGAAGGCCAGGGGAGCGAAAGGGAUUAGAUACCCCUGUAGUC
rnacentral:rRNA from 1 species